CCGGACUGCUCGGGGUUAGGCUGGGCAUCAGUCAGCGGGUGGAGCAAUUUCGGGAUCCGACAAGCUCGGCUGAAAUCACACACACUACACUCAUGAAGAUCCAGGUCCAACAGCGACAGAGCCUGCAGAAACAUUCACAGAUCUAAGGGAGUAAUAUAAUUUGAAGCUGAAAAGAAGCAACUGUUAUUCAAGCUAGCAAAGGGAACAUUCUGCACCUGCCCCCAGAAGAAGAUGCUGACCCUUACCUUCAACGUAAAAACUCUGCUUGGUGUUCUGAUCUCAAAAACCCCUUCACCAUUUUCCACCUUGCAGUCAAAGCUGGCGCUGGAGAGAUCGAUAGACCCCAAAGGGUUCACAUCCUGUGCAGUUCUGUAGUACAGGGAGGAAAGCACGGCCUUCUCCUUUGCUGAGGCUCCACCGCUCCUGCUGUUGUCUGGGUUUGACUCUGCUAGCUUGCCUGGGACUCCAGCAAGGGGCCAAGUUCCACUUUCUGGUCCUUUUUUCAUCUCUUUCAGGAAAU